AGUUAUUUUGGAGACGCUUAGAAAGAAUCUAGUUUUAUAUGGAUGAAGUAUACAAAUCUUGAAGUCAUGUGGGUAUAAGUGACACUGGCGGAAUAGUGAAGGACUAAAUUGAUUGAAAACUACGUUACUUAAGGGAAUAAAUUUAAGAGAAGAUUCGAGUGGUCCAGGAUCGUUAGAAAUCAUUUGGCAUCUUAAAAAGAUGAAAAGAAAUAUAUGAAUUGGUGAAAGAGCUAGGGGUUGUGCCCAAAAGUUAUACAUAUCCAUGAAAGGCAUAAUGAGGUUUGGUAAAAAGGAAAAGUUGACCAGAAGGAGUCUCUGUAGAUCCUGCUAAGAUUAGAGAGGUGAGUGAGUGACCUAUUCCAAGAACGUGUAUGUAUCUAAAGUUUUCUAGGCCUAGAUGACCAUUAUAGGAUGUUGUGAAAGACUUUUCGAAGAGAGAAAAACCAUUGACCAACUUGUUGAAAAAGGAAUCGAAAUUCAAGUGAAGUGAGAAAUGUGAGGAAGCUUUUUAGAUUUAGCUUUUGUCGCGUCAAUUGAAACCUUAUAAGGCUAAUUACCAAACCCAUGACCUAGAGUUAGCUGUUAUGGUGUUAUCUACGAAUAUUUGGAGACAUUACCUUUAUAGAGCAACAUGUAAGAUCCUUACCGAGAACAAAAGUCUGAAAUUUUGGCAAUAAGGUCCAGUUGAAUCUUUGGGACAACAUUGAAAAUGAAUAUUUCUUUCCACCCUGCAACCGAUAGACAGAUUGAGAUUACUAACGGAAUUUAUGUUGAAAACCGGUGUUAUUGACUUUAAGGGUAAUUGGGAAGGCCACCUAGGUUCGAUUGAAUUUUCGUGCAUCAAUAGUUACCAUGCAAGCAUUACGAUGUCACAUGUUGAGGCACUGUAUGGAAAGAAUUGUAGAAGUCUUACUUGUUGGAAUGAGUUUAGUGAGAAUAUUGUAUUGAGGACAUAAUUCGUUGAGGAAGAAAUACCCAAAGUUAUUCCCUGAGAUGAGUUACGAGGGCGUAACUCGUUUUAUUUAAGAGGGGUAGAAUGCGAUAUAAAUUCGCGCUUCUUACCUAAUUUUAUGGUGUUUUUAUGCAUUUUUAUGCUUAUUUUAGCAAAUUAUACAUGUCGAUGCAAGUAAAUAGAUUCUCCGCGUAAGAAAAAGGUGUUCAUGAGUAAUUCAAGAAACUUUAAGUUGGCAAAAGAGUGUACAUAAAUGCCACAAGUACUUCUACAAUAAGAAUAAGUUCAAAAGUUUGGAAAGAUAUGUGAAUUUUCGUGUCAAGUUUCGGGACGAAACUUCUUUUAAGAGGGGUAGAUUGUAAUCCCCCGUAAUUUUAUAAAUCUUAUUAAUACAUUUUAACGUAUAGUUAAUUAUAUUUAAAUAGAAUUUACGAAUUUUAGAAAUAAAAAUGUAAUUAACGAAUAUUUAUUUUUAUACGUUUUAAAUAUUUCAACGAUUUAUGAAAUUAAAAUAAUUUUAGAAUUUCAUGUUGAAAAUAAAUCGAAUUACAAAACCGAUUGAAUUUAGAGAACGUUCCUAAUCGAUUUUGGAAUGAAAUCCUAAAACUAAGUUCCUAAUUCUAGCCCACUUUGGUAAAGCCCAUUGUGAUAAACCUAAACCCCCAUAAUCUCAUCUCACGUGAAACCAAAGAAACAACAAAAGAAAAAUCUCUCUCCUUCAUCCUUCACCCUUCACGUGAACCCUCAAACCCUCAAACCUUGCAGCCGCCAGCCACCAGCCACCGCACACCGCCUGCACCACCCUCGCCGUCGGCGUCUCCUCCUUCGUCCGCAACCACCACCCACCUACGAAACUGACCGCGACAGCCACCGUCCUGUGUCGUCGCCGACCAACCAGCACCAACUUCGCAAUCCUUCCACACGCAAACAGUCCUCCCUUUGGCUUGCUCCUUGCUCACGGCACCACCACCAACGACCCGAGCAACCCUCGCUGCCACCAUCGACAGCCGCCACCGCCGCUGCCGCGCCAUCUCCGACCGCCGUCCAACCACUCUUCAUUCUUUCUUUUGGUGGAGAAUUCUCCGUAGGCGACUUUUGAAUUCUUAAAGUGGUCUCGCAUUUUGUUUACACAAGUCUCUAAGGAUCAAUAAGCGUUGCCCAUCUACAGGUUUGAAGAUGAUGCAUCAUUGGGAUCGGGAUUAGAGAGCUUGUAGUUCAUUUGAUUUUCUAAGUUGGAUUUGGUUUGUUUAAGUGGACUCUAAAACUUAUUGAAUUAGUAACAUUAACUUUGUUUUU